UACAGAGGGGGCAAGCGUUGUUCGGAAUUACUGGGCGUAAAGGGCGCGUAGGCGGCCUUCUAAGUCGAACGUGAAAUCCCCGGGCUCAACCCGGGAACUGCGUCCGAUACUGGAAGGCUUGAAUCCGGGAGAGGGAUGUGGAAUUCCAGGUGUAGCGGUGAAAUGCGUAGAUAUCUGGAGGAACGCCGGUGGCGAAGGCGACAUCCUGGACCGGUAUUGACGCUGAGGCGCGAAAGCCAGGGGAGCAAACGGG
rnacentral:rRNA from 1 species